GGCCCUUUGGCCUAAUUGGUAAGGCGUCUGACUACGACCGAAAUUAUGUGUGAACUACGAUCGGGCAGUUAUCAGGAGAUUCUGGGUUCGAUCCCCAGGAGGGUCA